rnacentral:rRNA from 1 species
CUGCUAUCGGGAUAGGACUAAGACACGCUAGUCGAGCGCUUCCUAGCCAAUUUGGGAGCGCGGCACACAGCUCAGUAACACGUGGCUAACCUGCCCUUGGGACAAGAACAACCCCGGGAAACUGGGGCUAAUUCGUGAUAGGCGAAGAACUCUGGAAUGAGUCUUCACCCAAAAGACGCUUACACUACGCUUGUAGGCGCCGCCCAAGGAUGGGGCCGCGACCGAUCAGGUUGUUGGUGAGGUAAUGGCUCACCAAGCCUUUUACCGGUGCGGGCCGUGAGAGCGGGAGCCCGGAGAUGGGCACUGAGACAAGGGCCCAGGCCCUACGGGGCGCAGCAGUCGCGAAAACUUUGCAAUAAGCGAAAGCUUGACAGGGCUAUCCCGAGUGCCAUCCGCUGAGGAAGGCUUUUACCCAGUCUAGAACGCUGGGGGAAUAAGGAGAGGGCAAGUCUGGUGUCAGCCGCCGCGGUAAUACCAGCUCUCCGAGUGGUGUGGAUGUUUAUUGGGCCUAAAGCAUCCGUAGCUGGCUAGGUUAGUCCCUUGUUAAAUCCACCGAAUUAAUCGUUGGAUUGCGGGGGAUACUGCCUGACUAGGGGACGAGAGAGGCAGACGGUAUUUCCGGGGUAGGGGUGAAAUCCUAUAAUCCCGGGAGGACCACCAGUGGCGAAGGCUGUCUGCUAGAACGCGCCCGACGGUGAGGGAUGAAGCUGGGGGAGCGAACCGGAUUAGAUACCCGGGUAGUCCCAGCUGUAAACGAUGCAGACUA